AGCGAACGCUGGCGGCAGGCCUAACACAUGCAAGUCGAACGGACCCUUCGGGGUUAGUGGCGGACGGGUGAGUAACACGUGGGAACGUGCCUUUAGGUUCGGAAUAGCUCCUGGAAACGGGUGGUAAUGCCGAAUGUGCCCUUCGGGGGAAAGAUUUAUCGCCUUUAGAGCGGCCCGCGUCUGAUUAGCUAGUUGGUGAGGUAAUGGCUCACCAAGGCGACGAUCAGUAGCUGGUCUGAGAGGAUGACCAGCCACAUUGGGACUGAGACACGGCCCAAACUCCUACGGGAGGCAGCAGUGGGGAAUCUUGCGCAAUGGGCGAAAGCCUGACGCAGCCAUGCCGCGUGGAUGAUGAAGGUCUUAGGAUUGUAAAAUCCUUUCACCGGUGAAGAUAAUGACUGUAGCCGGAGAAGAAGCCCCGGCUAACUUCGUGCCAGCAGCCGCCGUAAAAC
rnacentral:rRNA from 1 species